CUCAGCCGCCGCGGUAAUACGUAGGUGGCGAGCGUUGUCCGGAAUUAUUGGGCGUAAAGAGCGCGUAGGCGGGUAGAUAAGUCUGUUUUAAAAGUGCGGGGCUCAACCCCGUGAUGGAAUGGAAACUGUUUAUCUUGAGUACCGGAGAGGAAAGUGGAAUUCCCAGUGUAGCGGUGAAAUGCGUAGAUAUUGGGAGGAACACCAGUGGCGAAGGCGACUUUCUGGACGGUGUCUGACGCUGAGGCGCGAAAGCCAGGGAAGUGAACGGGAUUAGAUACCCCGGUAAUCCUGGCCGUAAACGAUGGGUACUAGGUGUAGAGGGUAUCGACCCCUUCUGUGCCGGAGUUAACGCAAUAAGUACCCCGCCUGGGGAGUACGGCCGCAAGGUUGAAACUCAAAGGAAUUGACGGGGGCCCGCACAAGCGGUGGAGUAUGUGGUUUAAUUCGACGCAACGCGAAGAACCUUACCAGGACUUGACAUUGAGUGAAAGUCUAAGAGAUUAGAGCCUCUCCUUCGGGAGACACAAAAACAGGUGGUGCAUGGCUGUCGUCAGCUCGUGUCGUGAGAUGUUGGGUUAAGUCCCGCAACGAGCGCAACCCUUAUCCUAUGUUGCCAGCGAGUAAAGUCGGGAACUCAUGGGAGACUGCCGCAGACAAUGCGGAGGAAGGCGGGGAUGACGUCAAGUCAUCAUGCCCCUUAUGUCCUGGGCUACACACGUACUACAAUGGGCUUAAAUAGAGGGAAGCAAGACCGCGAGGUGGAGCGAACCCCAAAAACAAGCUCUCAGUUCGGAUCGCAGGCUGCAACUCGCCUGCGUGAAGUCGGAAUCGCUAGUAAUCGCAGAUCAGCA
rnacentral:rRNA from 1 species